rnacentral:rRNA from 1 species
UGGGGAAUUUUGGACAAUGGGCGAAAGCCUGAUCCAGCAAUGCCGCGUGUGUGAAGAAGGCCUUCGGGUUGUAAAGCACUUUUGUCCGGAAAGAAAUCCUUGGCUCUAAUACAGUCGGGGGAUGACGGUACCGGAAGAAUAAGCACCGGCUAACUACGUGCCAGCAGCCGCGGUAAUACGUAGGGUGCAAGCGUUAAUCGGAAUUACUGGGCGUAAAGCGUGCGCAGGCGGUUUGCUAAGACCGAUGUGAAAUCCCCGGGCUCAACCUGGGGACUGCAUUGGUGACUGGCAGGCUAGAGUAUGGCAGAGGGGGGUAGAAUUCCACGUGUAGCAGUGAAAUGCGUAGAGAUGUGGAGGAAUACCGAUGGCGAAGGCAGCCCCCUGGGCCAAUACUGACGCUCAUGCACGAAAGCGUGGGGAGCAAACAGGAUUAGAUACCCUGGUAGUCCACGCCCUAAAACGAUGUCAACUAGUUGUUGGGGAUUCAUUUCCUUAGUAACGUAGCUAACGCGUGAAGUUGACCGCCUGGGGAGUACGGUCGCAAGAUUAAAACUC